rnacentral:rRNA from 1 species
CCUACGGGGUGCUGCAGUGGGGAAUAUUGGACAAUGGGCGAAAGCCUGAUCCAGUCAUGCCGCGUGUGUGAAGAAGGCCUUCGGGUUGUAAAGCACUUUCAGUGGGGAAGAAAGCCUUGGGGCUAAUACCCUCGAGGAAGGACAUCACCCACAGAAGAAGCACCGGCUAACUCCGUGCCAGCAGCCGCGGUAAUACGGAGGGUGCGAGCGUUAAUCGGAAUUACUGGGCGUAAAGCGCGCGUAGGCGGUCUGAUAAGCCGGUUGUGAAAGCCCCGGGCUCAACCUGGGAACGGCAUCCGGAACUGUCAGGCUAGAGUGCAGGAGAGGAAGGUAGAAUUCCCGGUGUAGCGGUGAAAUGCGUAGAGAUCGGGAGGAAUACCAGUGGCGAAGGCGGCCUUCUGGACUGACACUGACGCUGAGGUGCGAAAGCGUGGGUAGCAAACAGGAUUAGAUACCCUUGUAGUC